AGUGAACGCUGGCGGUAGGCCUAACACAUGCAAGUCGAACGGCAGCACAGUAAGAGCUUGCUCUUACGGGUGGCGAGUGGCGGACGGGUGAGGAAUACAUCGGAAUCUACUUUUUCGUGGGGGAUAACGUAGGGAAACUUACGCUAAUACCGCAUACGACCUACGGGUGAAAGCAGGGGAUCUUCGGACCUUGCGCGAUUGAAUGAGCCGAUGUCGGAUUAGCUAGUUGGCGGGGUAAAGGCCCACCAAGGCGACGAUCCGUAGCUGGUCUGAGUGGACGAUCAGCCACACUGGAACUGAGACACGGUCCAGACUCCUACGGGAGGCAGCAGUGGGGAAUAUUGGACAAUGGGCGCAAGCCUGAUCCAGCCAUACCGCGUGGGUGAAGAAGGCCUUCGGGUUGUAAAGCCCUUUUGUUGGGAAAGAAAAGCAGCAGGUUAAUACCCCGCUGUUCUGACGGUACCCAAAGAAUAAGCACCGGCUAACUUCGUG
rnacentral:rRNA from 1 species